CAGCAGACGGUUAUCCCUUUCUGGUCUGCACCGUGGUCUCUGAGGGAGUCAGUCUGCAACAUCAGCUCUCAUAGCUCAGCAGAGGUCUGGUCAUCCAUUCUGCAUGUCUGGCAGCUGAGCUGUGUGAACAUGC
rnacentral:snoRNA from 1 species